GACCUUUAGUGCUUCGUCAUUGCUGCGACACCGCCUCUCUCUGAAACCUGAUCGAUAGUGUCAACUUGUUCUGAAGGGAAACACCGGAAUUAUGGCACCGAGGUAAAGGUGGAGGAAACACACAGGAAAGAAGUCUGUCUCCUCAGGUAAGACUCGCCCUCUUACACACUCUUGUGUUUUUAUUGCACACAUUUACUGCGGCGAGCUUUUACAUUUCCAGUUUGCUCUCAGCGGCGGUAGUAGCAGUUCGUUUAGAGUUCACUGCACCGUAUUAGAGGGAUUAAACGAGAAGAGGUCAGGGAUGUUUAUGCUGUUAGCCUACAUUUAAAAGUAGAAACACGACACCCAAAUGUUUGAUAGGUGGUUAAAAAGGACCGAGUUCACGUUUAGUGUCUGCACAAGGUUUGAUGUUCCUGCCAACAGUCUUCAGACUUCGCUGUGCCUCAAACAAAAAGAUAUCUAGCUUAUUUAUCCGACAAUAAAAAGGAACAGUGUCGAAAUGAAACAAGUGUUUACGCUAAUAUUAAAAUCUGCACAUGUCUAUUUUGAUACGCUGGUUUUAAAAGAAGUGACCGAAAGUAAAAUCUGUGGUUACUGAAUUAUUUGGGUCUUAUAUAACCUGGGAAUGAAAUUAUUUUCUCAAAGGAUGCUAGCAUCAGGCCAAUGUAUUAUCACACAUGUAUUGAAUGUUAUGUCUAUCUUUGGGACAUAAUUUUCUCUUUGUAUUGCAGUACAAUUUACUAUUAUGAUUCUUGGGGAUUGGAACAAAACCUGUCCAACAGUUGAAGCAGCUAUAAUUUUAAAAAAUAAUAUAAUUUUCUAUUGUUAAUGUUUUUUGAGUAAAUAUUGGAAUGUAUUGAACACAAUUAUUCCCUUCAAUUUGAAUUUAUCCUUAUUACAUUAAAUCUAUAAGGCUUAGUCUCUUCUAACAACAUCAGAAACAAGGUGUCCACAGAGAGGGGUCCAGUGAUCCUUAUGCAAAAUAUGUACAGAAGUAAGCUUUGCUGUAAGCUUUUCAAGGAAAUCCAUUUUUUUAUUAUACAUAAUAAAAAAACAUUGGUUUCCUUAAAAAGCGUACUGAACAUCUCCUUUUUAAUGUGUGCUGUUUACUUGAAUGUAUUUUGAUUAACUAUAAUGCUGUGACAUUUGAAAAAACGUUACUGAUCUGACACUCUUUCUUCCCCCUGUCUCUGACCUGAUCACACCAUGUGGGAUUGCUCAUGCUAACUACAUCGAUCUUCAACAUGGAAUUGGUGUAAGUAUAAAAUGCCAGGCUCUUUAUGUUAAACAAAAGCCAAACCCGUGUAAUGUAUGAUAUAAACUGUUGCAUUCAUGGACUAUUUUAGGGUAUUGCACUGUCUUGCACACAGUAAACGGUAGAAUAAUUUAACAUUACAUCAACAUUUUAGUCCCCCUUUAUGUGGCUACAUAUGACAUCAGUGUAUAUUGUGGUACAGUAUAAUUUUGCAGCUCAAGACAGUAUUAUUUUAAUUAAAGUGCUCUCUUCACUUUAGAGGAGCUUCAUUUCUAUUUAUGUGCUGUGAUGUCAGGAUGCAUCACUUUUACUGACACGACUAUAUAUGAAUUUUUAAAGGUCUUCUCCUGAUGUAGCUUUUAGCUUGGGAUUUCAGUGCAGACUCAAGUGUCUUCUGCAUGCAGUAACUGGCUUUUUUUCUAUCAUACUUCCUUUUUGUUAGUGUAUUACUGCAGAAACUCUCACUCAAACUUGACUAUCUCACCUAUCAACAAAAAUGUUUUUGUGCUUUGUGGUAUAGUGUAAUUGCCUUUUUGACAUUUAGCAUCCAGUGGAUGUAAUGAAAGUUUAAAUGAUGGCACCAAGCAGCUGUUGACUCGCUGGUGUUCACAUUCAUUGCACUCGUUUUGGGAGGGGUAGUGUGACAGUGUCACCAUCAGGGAUCUCGACGCAAACACAUCUUUAUCUCUAAUGACCACAUGCUCCCAGCUUGCAUGACAGCUCAGUGUUAAGCAAUAUUAUUGUUGGUGGGGAUUCCCUCUCUUUUACAGCAAAUGAUUAAUGUUGGACUUGCGACUUGAUCCUUUGUGAUUGAUUUUUUAAAAUUCUUCAACUAAAAUUACAUACACUAUACCCAGUGUUCUGGAUAUUACUGUGUAUGUAUAUGAGGAAAGUGUUGUCAUAAAAAAGAAGUAAGUGCUGCAAAGUUGUGCUCUGAUAUUUUUCAAGUGGAUAUAAUAAAGGCAGAUUCUUUUGCAGCUAUGUGGCGCUGGUUGUUCAGUCUAUGAGGCGCUAUAACUGUACAUAUCCAAACCUGUCUUUAGUACCAUGUCUCCAGCAGGUGGCAGUGUAAACUAAAAAAAAGCACAGCCUUAAACAGGAGCAGCAGAUGAUCAAACUCAGUGCAGCAUGUACUUAGGUGGCCUAGAAUGUCCACCACAAUCUGUUCAAAGCACUGUGAGCUCGAGGGCUUACACAGUGUGUUUUAAAGAGAUCUCACAUGACAUACCAGUGCAUGCAUAUUAAUACGAGCAUUGCUUUUGCAAUAUGACUCACUGCUUUACAAGGUAUCUGAAUGCAAAUGUAAAUUACAGUUUAAGUAGCUGUAGGAAACCCAUGACUUUUUCUUGUCAAGUUGUUAAAUCCUAUUCUUUGUGCUAAAGCAGCAAAGGCAGACAACAUGUCUGCUGGCAGAAAGAGGCAAGACCAUGGAACAAUCCAGGGUCAUAAAUUCUUCAGAACAUAAUAGUGCGGUAUGAAUAUUGAUGCACUGUUACCGUCUAUCCAGUCAGUGCUCUUGAGAGCUCAGCUCCUGAGCACAAAUAAAACCCCAGCAAGCCCUGCCUCCAUCACAUGCACACUGCACGCAAAAUUCAUAUUUAAAGCCUUUUUUUCCAAGCUGCACAAGUUGUUUUACAUAAGAUCCUGGCGGGAAGGCGGCAUGUUGGGUGAUGCGCACCCAGAUGCAGUGCUGAAAGUCACAGAGAGAUGAAUUGGGUGGAAGUGGUAUGGGACAUUAUGUAAUCCCUGAGUGAUGGAGCCAGAGAGGGAUAAAGAUGUUCCAAACAAACAUAACCCCCCUGCUCUCAGCUGGAGUAAUGCACUGCAACAUGGUGUGUACGUGUUUGCUCGUGCUUUUGUACAAAUGAAGAGGGUAAAAAAACAGAAAGUGUGCACCAGUGUUUUUGGGUGUGUCCGUUGUGUGACUGGCUGGUCUCUGAGUCUGUGGCUCCAGUCUGUUCCAGUCUCAGGGGACUGUGGGUCUAUGAGUGCUGCUGCUGCUGCUCUUCUCCUCCCUCUCUGUGUUGUCUCUCCUUCCUCUCCUGGGUCCAGCUCAACACCUGCUCCUUGGGCAGGGCAGGGUUCCUAAGCAACAGAAGGAAACGCCAAGACUUCAUUGGUUCUUUGUUUGUCACUUGCUCUUCCUCGGUUAUCACUCUGACAUACUCACUCCAUUCCAAACACAAACAGAAAUGAUCAAUAUCAGAAAGUAUUCACUUUCUGUACUUUUUUGUACUUACCUGGAACCUUUUUGUUCAUGUGCCAUGCCACUGUAAAUGUUUAACUCCAAUUUGUGUGCCGUGGCGCUUCUUUUCUCGCCACUGAUCAAAGUCUAAGGAAAAAAAUUAUGAUUAUCGACCGUCUCCAGACUGCUCCACAGAAUGUUUUGUUACUAUUAUUUGUGUCUCCUGAGCUUCUGAACACCUGAGUCGGACUUUCUGACAUACUUCAGGGGACCACCUUUGCAGUGGUAAGAUUGUUUAUUUAGCAAAAAGCAAACACAUUUGUCUGAAACGCCAAACAUGUUACACCAAAUUACUUCUGUGAGACAAAAGUGGUGGUUCCUCUUCUCCCGUGUGGUUUGGAGAAUAAUGAACCCCUUUACGUCCCCCCUCUGCUGUCUAUGAGCCGUAUGGCCCUAAUGGGGUCAGGCAGAUGGGUGGGGACAUGCUUGAGUUCAGACAGCUUGUGUGUUUGUUUUUUUGUUUGUUAUCAGAAGCACAUGUGUGAGAUGGGUUAUUUUAAGAUUAUUUAGAUAAGAUGUUCAAAGUUGAAGGUGAUGUUGGACCUCAGAUUUUAAGUUUUCACCUAAAAUGAUCCUGAAACGGCGUCCUUUUUUAGUUCCUCCCUUAAUGGCUCCAGUUUGAAGUUCUUACUGCUCUCAUACUGUGCACUUGAAUGCACCACGUCGAAGCCUGAAAAGACCGGGCAGCACUGUGAGGAAUAUUGCUGUUGCCUCUGUGCCUCCCUCCUGUUUCUGGACAUUGUACUGCGUUAAUGAUUGCACCCUUUGACCCGCCCAGCUCCAUGUCUGCUGGGGGAUUUUUGAAAUGAGGCCAAUGUGCCACAUUGUCAUGAUAUGCGAGUUAAAAUUAAGGAUGUGAAUACCGGCCUUUUACAUAUAUACAUGUUUCAAUGAAAAGUGUGCUACAAAAGGUAGAAAAUGUAUUUAGUUUCUCUGUUAUUACAUGGAGGUUGUCGCCCUGUAUUCCACCUCCACAUGCGGUUGUGAGGCGUGCUCGCGCGGCUCAGUUGGUCAACUCAAGUCCGAGCCUCGUUGUAAGACUCCACCCAUUUACGAGCGUCGGACACCUUCAGCAGCACAACAAAGCAUGUGUGGCUCCGCAACGUUGUUUCUCCUCUGAACGUGCCGAAUAUAGGAUUUUAUCGGAUUUUAUGCUGGUUUCCUUCCCAUUGAUGCAAAUACUAGAGUAGGUAAGCCAUAUUUAAGAUGUAUGUUCCUCACGCGCUGGGGAUGAGUUAGUGUUUAUUUGUUUAGUUGUACAUUCGGCGCCAUUUUCAUACACAGAUUCAUUUAAAUACCCAGGCACGCUGGGACCGAUAUAGGCUAGCCUAUAACUGUUAUAUGUUUUGGUUAAAAAAAAAAAAUCGAAAUAUCGACCAUUUAAGUGAUGCUACCAUUAGUAUUUUAAAUACCACCUGCUUAAGCAAAUUAAAUAUAUAUUUAUUAUCUAUAUUUCCCGACUUAAAGAGCCCGGUAUAGUCUUACUCAUCCCCACAAAUCAAAAGUGGUUCGUGUGAACGGAGGCAGCGAGGAGCUCUCUACAUGUGAGCUGUUUUUGUGAAAAUGAAUGGGCAGGCGAUUUGUUUUUUCUUAACAGAGGAUGUAUAUUUACUACAGAGGGAAAUUCACAUUUCGUUUAACAUAUUUUUUUAACCAAUAAGUUGUACGUUAUAGUACUUUAAUGAUAAAUUAAUUCGAAACAUCAAGGUGAAUCCUUUUACUGUGUUUUGACUCACAGCAAGGUUAAAUACAGUAAAGUGGUUUGAAAUUUUAUUAUAUGAAUUCUUUUUUUUUUCUUUUUACUUAUUGAAGGUGACAUUAAAGGGAUAUUUCCCCCUUUAACCAUUCAUAUGUGAAACUGUUACCCCUGCACUUGUGUCUCCUGUUUGGAUGUUCUUGGUCUCAUUGCUUCUCUGUGAUGUGCCUUGCUGCUAUAUUUCCAGAACAUGUCUGCCCAGAUUUACAGAUGUUGUUUUUCCUGUGCUGUUACAGACAUGUCAUGGCUGUGGCUUUCAUUUUCUGCUUGACAUGACUUGAUUUUACCCCAAGAGGAAAGCAUGGGUUAAAAAUAUCCAUCUUCAUCGGAGGGCAGCAUAUGUGAAUGUGUGACUGUGUGCAGGCUCCUCCUAAGAGAAACUCAUCCAAUAAGCCUCAUCUCCAUUGAUGAUAGCUCUGGAUAUAUUUAGGCAGAUAAUCUUUUAUGGAGCGCUGCAGAUGUGACGUAGGGAGGACAAGACAGAGGCAGUAUUAGAGCGACGUGACUGCCAAGUGCUUACAUGAGCAGCAGAGGUAAACACAGAGGUUACAAUAUGAUGAGACCCAACUGCAUAGGGUCUCCUCCUGUUGUAGUGCUGCUGAAUCAGCAGGGUUGUAAACACAGAGCAGCAGGAGUAGUGGUGCUGAAGGAUGUUUUUGGCUCUGCUGUGUGAGAGUGGGGUCAACAGGGUCCCAGAAGAGCUUGCUGUUAAUCCUCUUUUGGGAGUUAUGAUGCAUUUGUGCAGUUAGACUACUACUCUGUUGUGUGAGCGCUACUUAACAGGGAAAUGACUCCUCAUACUGUAAACAGUCCUCUGCACUGUUCCUUAUCAAUGGGGGAGUCUUCUGAUUUGACUUCCUAAAGGCUGUUAACAAUCACACUUGGACUUGGUCUUUACACCAGUAGUUCUUAUAUCAAAUAGUACAAUCAUUUCAUUAGGAUAAAGUAAAUAUAAUUCACUUUACUCUUCAACAUUGAGCAAAUUGCUCCGACCAUUUAGAUCUGAAUUUUUGUUUGUGUCCAACAUAGAAGAGACACCCGUGUCGUCAUGUAAGCUUUCUAAUACUCAAUUCUUUCAGUGGCUGGGGUGAUGCUUUCAGAGGCUGUAGAGGAGCUUUUAGGGAAACCGCAGUAAAUCAAUCAGGCUACUUCAUUCUUUUCCCAUGUUGGUUCAUGUUACAGCAUCAGAUUCACACACCAUCUGUGAGUAUUGAUUAGUGGAGGAGUGGGUUUGGAUCUGUUUACCCUGAGGACUUGGCUGAAAUAAACCUGAGUUGCCCCAUGUAUUUUUGUUGAGAUUUAAUAGUAGGUACCUCAACAAAAAUAUGUAUAUUCUUCAUGUAGAAAACAUAUUAACAGAACUUCAUCCAAAUUUUAGUUUGUUUUAUUCCUUAACUUUGGGUUAUUUGAUAAGAUUAAAAAACAUAUUCUGCGGUAUGCUCCAAAAAUAGCUGAUUAAUUCAUCAGCCUAAUCAGAGACAAAUAAUCUCAAAUUAGUUUCAAAAUAAAGUUUGGAUACUAUUUUUUUUAAGUUUGAAAUCAGCCUGUUCCUGCUUCCUGAAUGUGAGGUUAUGCUACUCUUCUUUGUCUUUUAUGACCUGAACAUAAGGAGCAGUUUUGUAGAGCCUGAAAACUUAAAGUAGCAUUUAUGUAUUUAUUUUGUGGCGUGAAUCAUUAAUUUAUUAACUGCUUAAACAAGCUUAUCAAUGGAUAAUAAAGAGGCCCUGUUACACACACUGUGAUGAGUGUUUUCACGGUGUUCCCAUCUUCAGUGAAGAACCAUGGUGUUGCUGGGCAGGCUUGUGUGCAGCAGCAGAACAUACAAACAAUUCUGCGAGGCACGUGUUAGCGUGUACGUUGGCAUGUGUAUCUGUGUUUACUUAGAGAGGUUAAUAGGAGCCGCCAUGUGGCCAGAGGACUGAUAUCUUGGCCUUAGGUUCAUUUCUGUUGAUUUUCAGCCAGGUAGGAGGGGCUCCGAAUAAAACCAUGAAUCAGCACAGCAGCACUGUUCUUCUGCCAGCUUUUCUCUCUCUCCCACACACACUGAAGCACGCACACCAGACUGAGGGGCAGGGAGAGAAUCAGAGCGGAGAGACAGUGAGAUGGAUACUGUAGGCAGGUAGAUAGAUGGAGAUAAUCUCACUUGGUCACUCGGGGGCUGAUUAACUCUAAACUCCUUCUAAUUCCUUAAGCCUACUCUCAGUACCCAGGAAACAUGCUUUCUUCAAGUCUUACUAUUCCUACACAGUAAUGUUAUUUUAAAUCUCAUGUAACAUGAUUCCAGAGGUGGGGAUGAAGGAGCACCCAAAUCACCUCCAGGAAAUAAAAUCUCUCCUCUGUCUUCUGCUAACAGUCUAGUAAUGGGUGCAAUUGCGGCUGUGCACACUUGUAUGCACAUGUGCAUAUGCGUGUUGUGUGCUGUGAACAGAAAUAGAUAUGAGCUUGUCUGUAAAGUCUAACUAAUGAGUCCCUGCAUCCUGAGCACACAUGGCUAUUUAUACUUUACCUCCUCCUCCUCUGCAAGCUCCUUCCUAUUCUAGCCUUGCUGUCUUAUUUCAUCACACAAAUAUCCACCUGCUAGCACGCACCUCUGCAUCACCGGCAACAAUACAAGGACUCUGAUGUCUAGACAAACUAAGGAGUCAGAUUAACACGGAAACAAAGUGAGUUUUGGGGUUAGUCGCGGUCAAGUCGUUGGGGUAGCAUUAAUGCAAAACAGGGAUGGAGAAUAAAUCGAUACAGCAUAAUAUCGCUGUAUUUUGUCUGGUGAUAAAUCGUAUCGUCUCAUUUACCAAGUAUCAAUUUUUCAAAUUAAUAGCUAAUAUGAAGUCAAAUCUAUGAUAAUGAAAAAAUAAAAUCAACAGUUUGUCCAGUGAGGUUAGCAGAAGUAACAUCAUAGAGCAGGAGAAAGUUAGUACAACAAAUACAUAUAAGGUUUGCAAGAUGUACUACAUGAAAAUAAAAUACAGGGUAAAUACAGGGUGCUAAAUUAGCUUAACAGUUGAAAAAAUGUAGUAAAUCACAAUAUAUUGUAUCACAAUACUCACUGUAUUUCAAAAUGUAAAAAAUCACAAUAAUAUUGUAUCAUGGCCCAAGUAUCGUGAUAAUAUCGUAUCUUGGGGACACUAGUGAUUCCCAUCCCUAGUGCAAAAGUUUCAAAUGAAGUGAGUCUCACACUGUUUCUGUUGAUAUAAUUCAAACAAACAAAAAAAGCAUUUUACAUGGUAGUCAAACUAAAAGGUUACCCCCUCACUAGGUCAAAUUUCCAACUAUUCUCACGCUUGAACAUUAAUUCAGUGUCACGUUGACUUUAAAUUAGAUCCUUAUUCAACUCAAGCCCCCGUGUUUGCAUCUGAUCCAGCCGCUCCUUGCUAGAGGGUGGCCUACUUCAUCUAUUAUUCAGUUCAUUAGAGGCUCUAAUUAUGUAGGAUCAAGGGCAGUAUUCCUUUUUUUUAUACAGCAAUAUUUCAUCUAAUUAACUCCACACCAGAAACAGAAACACAUUGGGUGUAAUAAGAGAUGGAUGCUGCUGUGGCGUGGCCGCUGCUUUUUCAUUUAGUCAUGAUGAUGCAGGUUGGUCCAGCUCAGCUGGCCGACAGCAGAGAUGUUAGAGAGGCAACACAAAAUGGAGGAGGCAGCAGACACAAGCUCAGCUGGUCCAUUAGAAGCAUGUCUGUUUCCUGACAAUCACAAUUGAGAUGACAGAGCAUUAAAAGACCCAGAGGAGCCCGUGAGCAAUGAUGCAUACCAGUGUAUGUAUGUGUGUGUGUGUGUGUGUGUGAGUGUGUGUGUGUUUGUGUGGUGACCUAGGGAAUAUGCCUAUGGGGGGUCUUGUGGGGGGAAGGGUAGCAGGAUUAGUCAUAGUGAACGGCACAGUUAUUGGUCACUGGACACAAACAAUGGGAGGGCUAAAGAGGAUUUUGUCUGUGUGCGUACCCCUCCCUCCUUCCCCUCUUCUUCCUCCUCCUCCUCUCCUGCUGUCCUACAGUGCCAGUAGGAAGUAUAUGGUAUGGAGAGCCAGGCUGCACCCUUUGGGGCAGCGUGGUACAUCUGGAAGAUUGGCCUGUCUGCCUGUCUGUUAUCCCCCCUCCCCCCUCUCCUCACAAGGCAGGGUGCGACUUAAACUACAUAUGGGAGAGACAAACACGGCCACAUUCAUCACCAAUUAGACAGGUCCCGCCUCAGACUGGAUGCAAAUGAGUCAAUCAGUUUUUGUCUUUAAUGAGAGUGUAACUGGCGACUCGGAGUCAAACCAGGUUUUGGUGUGAUUGCGUAAUAAGUGUGGUGUAUUUCAGUCAGUUGUGUGAUUUAAUCAGCUGGUUAGAAGUUUCUAAAUAUACCCGAUCUGUGUCCUCCUGCUGCCACACCAGGGAAUCAAAGCUGGGUUCAUUAAACUCCGAAGACCCUGUACUGUCAAUUUCACUCACAUCAGUGUAUCAUGAGCAUUUUAUACUAACUGAGAGGGGUUCAAAAGGAGAUCAUGAAACAUUUCUGCAUUUAUUAACAAAAGUGUUGUUUAUCUUAUUGAUUUUGAAGUUAACAGAGUACAUCACAAUACACACACAUCACCUCCCUCCUCUCUUUCUACCAUUCCUCCAUCAAUAUUAAGAUGAAAUUAAAGCUAUAUCUCGUAUUAUGAUUCCUUGAAUAUUAUUGUGAUGAAGAAUACAUUAGACAAAUUUCAUUUAUUGCACGAGGAUAUGCUGAUCUGUGAGAGCUAAGCUAAUGUCAGCUAGUAGGCAAACUGCCCAAAUGUUUUUUUUCUAAAACCAAACAUCCAGUUUUUCAGAAAUUUUGUUCAAACCUGAUUAAGAAACUGCAUUAAAAUAACCAGAAAGAAACUGUCUGUUUAGCCUUUUAAGCAUCACCCACCAUGAAUAAGAUUUAGAAUAGAGUAUAGACUAGAAAAAAAAUCCUAUAUUGCUAUUCUGGACUUCAGUCUGCCUGUUUGCAGCUUUGUCUGCAGCCCAUUCACAAAGAAUCAUGAACAAUGGAUUAAUCUUUUUAUGAUGCCAUGAUAUAUCUCAUUACUUCCUCGGUUGUAAUGCUCUGGCUGACAUGUGUAGGCUGGCUGUGGGUGAGCUGAAGAGCUGGGCAUGCUUGUUGAGGAUGAUCCAGAGCAGGCGUUGCUAAUAUGAAGCUUGAGUACAGAAAGCCUCCUUUGUCUCUUUGGGAUUUAAUGAGUCUGUGAUAGUGUUGUGAGCCGGCCCUGAGAGCUCCAUGUAGACACAGUCUCCAACAAGGAGGGCUAUUGUGUGAUGAGGUGAUGUUUGUGUAUGUGUGUGUGUUAAGUAUGUGUCCUUAUAAUCUGUGGGUGGCAGUUGGCUUCAGGUCUGAUGGAAAAGGGGCUCAUUUAUGUCAUUUGAAGUGGGCAACUCACAAUACUGUGUUGUAUUGUUGUGGUGAAUAGUUUUUGAUCUGAGCUUCAUUUGAAAUGGCUUCAUGUGAGUACGCAUACAGAAAACUUUAAUAACAGUAUCUACAAUUUUAUACAGUGCUUAUGUCUAUAUAACUGCUGUUUACAAAAUCAAUAGUUUGAUUUUAAUUUUGUAGUUCCCACUUAUGAU